rnacentral:rRNA from 1 species
AUUGAACGCUGGCGGCAUGCCUUACACAUGCAAGUCGAACGGUAACAGGUCUUCGGAUGCUGACGAGUGGCGCACUGGUGAGUAAUACAUCGGAACGUGCCCGAUCGUGGGGGAUAACGGAGCGAAAGCUUUGCUAAUACCGCAUACGAUCUACGGAUGAAAGCAGGGGACCGCAAGGCCUUGCGCGGACGGAGCGGCCGAUGGCAGAUUAGGUAGUUGGUGGGAUAAAAGCUUACCAAGCCGACGAUCUGUAGCUGGUCUGAGAGGACGACCAGCCACACUGGGACUGAGACACGGCCCAGACUCCUACGGGAGGCAGCAGUGGGGAAUUUUGGACAAUGGGCGAAAGCCUGAUCCAGCCAUGCCGCGUGCAGGAUGAAGGCCUUCGGGUUGUAAACUGCUUUUGUACGGAACGAAAAGACUCUUUCUAAUAAAGAGGGUCCAUGACGGUACCGUAAGAAUAAGCACCGGCUAACUACGUG